AGAGUUUGAUCCUGGCUCAGGACGAACGCUGGCGGCGCGCCUAACACAUGCAAGUCGAACGAGCGAGAGAGAGCUUGCUUUCUCGAGCGAGUGGCGAACGGGUGAGUAACGCGUGAGGAACCUGCCUCAAAGAGGGGGACAACAGUUGGAAACGACUGCUAAUACCGCAUAAGCCCACGGCUCGGCAUCGAGCAGAGGGAAAAGGAGCAAUCCGCUUUGAGAUGGCCUCGCGUCCGAUUAGCUAGUUGGUGAGGUAACGGCCCACCAAGGCGACGAUCGGUAGCCGGACUGAGAGGUUGAACGGCCACAUUGGGACUGAGACACGGCCCAGACUCCUACGGGAGGCAGCAGUGGGGAAUAUUGCACAAUGGGGGAAACCCUGAUGCAGCGACGCCGCGUGGAGGAAGAAGGUCUUCGGAUUGUAAACUCCUGUUGUUGAGGAAGAUAAUGACGGUACUCAACAAGGAAGUGACGGCUAACUACGUGCCAGCAGCCGCGGUAAAACGUAGGUCACAAGCGUUGUCCGGAAUUACUGGGUGUAAAGGGAGCGCAGGCGGGAAGACAAGUUGGAAGUGAAAUCUAUGGGCUCAACCCAUAAACUGCUUUCAAAACUGUUUUUCUUGAGUAGUGCAGAGGUAGGCGGAAUUCCCGGUGUAGCGGUGGAAUGCGUAGAUAUCGGGAGGAACACCAGUGGCGAAGGCGGCCUACUGGGCACCAACUGACGCUGAGGCUCGAAAGUGUGGGUAGCAAACAGGAUUAGAUACCCUGGUAGUCCACACCGUAAACGAUGAUUACUAGGUGUUGGAGGAUUGACCCCUUCAGUGCCGCAGUUAACACAAUAAGUAAUCCACCUGGGGAGUACGACCGCAAGGUUGAAACUCAAAGGAAU
rnacentral:rRNA from 1 species